rnacentral:tRNA from 1 species
GGAUUGUGGCUCAGAGGUAGAGCACUCUCCUACCAUGCGUGAGGCACUGGGUUCCAUCCUCAGCACCA